GUAGGUGAACCUGCGGAAGGAUCAUUAACACGUAUCCAACGUUAAACAACCCUGGUAAAUCGAGCGAACAGUUUGAUUCAGGGACCUCUUUUGAUACACACUUGGAUUCGAUGCGGCGUCGUAAUUUAGACUUGGUUUCUGGAAGGCUAUCAAGUAAAAUCGUUGACGCACGAUAAAGGAUGCUGCCUUAAAAGCAGAUCACUGGUCCUCACGACGGUCAGUGGACAAGUCUCUGGGCUUCGGCCCCCAU
rnacentral:misc_RNA from 1 species